UAAAUAUCUCUCAUUAUUAUUAUGAUUUGUUCCUAAUUAAGGAUUUAGUCUAUGUAUAUAUAUAAAUAGAGAAUACUGUUGAGUAUUUCGUAUAAAUUUAGCAUAAAGUUAUUAUCAAUAAUAUUGAAGCUCUUAUUAUUUUCUCUCCUCCUUAUAUCUAAAGUUCCACAACUUCAACAUAUUAUGGAAAUAUAACAACGUAGGUUCUAGAAAGUCAUUGAAUAAAAUGUAAUACAAGCAAUUUUGAAAAUAAGGAUUACAGAAGUUCAUACCUUUGAACUAUACAAUAGCAGAACUCUACUUGCAGCAACACUAACAGAUAUCGAAAUUCACUUUUAUAAGAACAAUGUGGGUCAACCUGCAGAAUAGUGAAUAAAUUUCGUAUGUUGUUGUCCCUUACAUGUUACACUUGGCUGCUUUUUUGUUCAAGAAUUAAAGGGGAAAAACAAUUCACUUUAGUUUAUUGGGUGAUUCAUACCAGCAGAAGAACAAUGGUUUUUUUAGAUUGCUGAAGGGAAAGCCACUGUUUGGGGUGAGGAAUCAACACAAAUGGUUUUACUGUUCAAAUUUGGAUAUAUAUAAAGUCCAACUAUAUCAUCACAAGCAAGUGAAACAGAUGGAAAACAACACAAUUUGUCAAACCUUGAAAUACCAUGCUAUAUAUGUCAACAAAUGUCUUGCAUGAAAAAUAAAUAAUAAUCACAAAUACAUAAUCCUACAAGGUGAUAGCCAAGUUCAAUUGCAGUUCAAUGAUCCACGUCAGUGUUGCAACUUGAAUAGGUUCCAUGGAUUAAUUGCAUUUGUAUUUCGUUUUCCAUUUUCUGCAGGUUGGAGUUUAUAGAACCCAAUAAUAUAUUAGUCAAUUCAAAAACACCAAUGCGUCAAUUUAAGCAAAUUAUAAGGUUA